rnacentral:rRNA from 1 species
AUGCAAGAGGAGUAUGAUGCCCUUCAGGCCAAUCACACAUGGACUCUUGUGCCUCGACCUCGGGGUGCCAAUAUCGUCACCGGUAAAUGGGUAUUUCGGCAUAAACUCAAACCCGAUGGUUCCUUGGAUCGUUACAAAGCUCGUUGGGUUGUUCGUGGAUUCACUCAACGUGCCGGCAUUGACUUUGGUGAGACUUUCAGUCCCGUGGUCAAACCAGCCACAGUCCGCACAGUCUUGCAUCUUGCUGCUUCUCGACAUUGGCCCGUGCAUCAGUUGGACGUAUCCAAUGCGUUCCUUCAUGGAGUCCUUCAAGAGCGUGUUUACUAUGCUCAACCGUCGGGUUUCAUCGACGCAACAUAUCCCGAGCAUGUAUGUCUGUUGUCCAAGUCUCUCUAUGGGCUUAAACAGGCUCCACGCGCUUGGUACACACGCAUU